UACAGAGGGGGGCAAGCGUUGUUCGGAAUUACUGGGCGUAAAGGGCGCGUAGGCGGCCUGCUAAGUCGAACGUGAAAUCCCCGGGCUCAACCCGGGAACUGCGUCCGAUACUGGCAGGCUUGAAUCCGGGAGAGGGAUGUGGAAUUCCAGGUGUAGCGGUGAAAUGCGUAGAUAUCUGGAGGAACACCGGUGGCGAAGGCGGCAUCCUGGACCGGUAUUGACGCUGAUGCGCGAAAGCCAGGGGAGCCAAAGCGGG
rnacentral:rRNA from 1 species